UACGUAGGUCGCAAGCGUUGUCCGGAUUUACUGGGCGUAAAGAGCGCGCAGGCGGCUGGUCAAGUCCGAUGUGAAAUCUCCCGGCUCAACUGGGAAACUGCAUCGGAAACUGACCGGCUUGAAGGUGGGAGAGGGUAGUGGAAUUCCCGGUGUAGUGGUGAAAUGCGUAGAUAUCGGGAGGAACACCAGCGGCGAAGGCGACUACCUGGCCCAUUCUUGACGCUGAGGCGCGAAAGCUAGGGGAGCGAACGGG
rnacentral:rRNA from 1 species